AGAAUCAACGCUGGCGGCGUGCCUAACACAUGCAAGUCGAACGAGAAAGUGGAGCAAUCCAUGAGUAAAGUGGCGACCGGGUGAGUAACACGUGACUAACCUACCUUCGAGUGGGGGAUAACCUCGGGAAACCGGGGCUAAUACCGCAUAAAAUCUUUGGAUCGGAAGAACUGGAGAUCAAUGGAGCAAUUCGCUUGAAGAGGGGGUCGCGGCUGAUUAGCUAGUUGGCGGGGUAAUGGCCCACCAAGGCUUUGAUCGGUAGCCGGCCUGAGAGGGCGCACGGCCACACUGGAACUGAAACACGGUCCAGACUCCUACGGAGGCAGCAGUGGGGAAUUUUGCGCAAUGGGGGAAACCUGACGCAGCAACGCCGCGUGGAGGAUGAAGUCCCUUGGGACGUAAACUCCUUUCGACCGGGACGAUUAUGACGGUACCGGUGGAAGAAGCCCCGGCUAACUUCGCGCCAGCAGCCGC
rnacentral:rRNA from 1 species